AAGUAAGCUUCACUUUAUGCAUUUUGUUCUGAUGAUGUAAUUUGUGAUUUGGUGCUCAACAAAUAAAGAUUUAUUGAUUGAAAUAUUUGACAGAAGUACUAUAAACCAAAUAUAAAUAAUGUUCUGAUUUUUUUUUUUAGAUCAACAGCUCACUUUGUGUGCUGCUCUCUAUUGAGAGGAGUGUUACGGCUGCUUACCAUCCCCAAACAAAUGGGCUUGAUGAGAAAACCAAUGAUAACAUCAAACGGGCACUUAAAAAGCUUGUUAAUGAUCAGCAGGAUGACUGGGACCAGUACCUGGAUGCAAGUCUUUUUUCGCUGAGAUCCAAAAUGCAAACCACAACAAAAUUCUCACCAUUUCUUUUAAUGUAUGGGCGAGAAGCUGGAUUUCCAUCAGAAGUGCCUGUUGAACUGCCGUCCAAAAACUUUGGUCUUCUAAAGAUACAGGACAAGUGGAAGCGGUCGUGGGACCAUACAAAAUUUAUGAUACCUCUUUUAGAACACUAUCGGGACAUGGCUGGCUUUCAGAUGAGAUCAUUGAUGCAUACCUGCACUGCAUUAUGAAAUUAGCCAAGAUACCUGUGCAUUGUUUGAAUGCUGUACUUGGGUCCUCUGUCUUUCAUCGUGGCCAUUUCAGAGUUUUUCAAAAGGUAAUAUGGUUUUAUUACAGACUAUGUAACCUUAUACACAUGCAUGUUGGAACUUUGGAUUUUAAGUGCUCUCUUCUAUUUUUAGAUGAAGUUGCCCACAGCUUCAACUUGGAUUUGUCCUGUAAACGUUGGAGGUCACUGGAUUUUAGUG